CGAGGAGAGAGACGAGUGGAGUGAUUUUGUGUUGGAUUACCUAAGUUUAUUUAUUUAUUUAUUUAUUUAUUUUCAAGUUAUGGCUGAGUUUUUGACCGAUGAGCAGGACGUGGAAGAAACUGAAUUUCAUUUUGAUGGCUGACCGUAUUUAUUUGAGUCCGAAUACACGGACGAAGAACUUCAAGAUAUUGAAGAACGGGCAAGGACAGAAACAGUUGGUCAACAAGCAGAGAGCACGGAACCAGCUGAAGCAAGGCUGCGAACCUCGGGAAACUGGUGGUGUCUCUGUGGGUGCUGCGUACCUAUGCCUACAGAAGAGGAAUGCCUUUGCUGCAGGGAAUGAGACUUGCUGCAGCAAGCUGUGAGUGGGGGUUACCCACUGGAUGGUACACGCUGUCUGACUUCGUCAGAGAAUUUCCCCCCCUUGAUCAACAGGGCCGUGCUGGAGACCUUCUUCCAUGUUCCCAAAAUCAACUGGAAGAGGCGGCCAAGACCACAGGGAGAAAAUGGCCAUUUAUCUAUUGACCAAUGCAGACUCGUGGCUUACUGUGUAGUGCUGGAGUGGGCACUCAGAGGAGAGCGUCUUGGUCGUGGGAAUAGGAGAGUGCUGCAUUGUUGUGGCUAUAAGAAACAAGUACCCCUCUCCAACUGGCACUUACGCUGGUUUCAACGACAGAGAAAUAGCUGACGAGAAGCAGCUGAAACCGGUCAUGCAAUCAGUCACCUCCGGCAGAGUCUGAGCAGCUGACAAGCAUUCUCCUGAUUACACACCGACCAUAAAACUCCGGCUCUUCCAGCAACACUCUGCCAGAUCGAUAGACUCGACAUACACAACCCGCUGCUCAGACUCCUGCCAUCUCCUUCUCCCCGGUUUCCCUCCUGGACCCAGUCAUUCCCCGAAAUCAUCUCUCAGCGUCUGAGUUCUCCAGUCCGCCCUGUCUACAGCCCAACCCUCAUUCCCUGCCUUACUCCUGCCACCAGGGAUCCUCAGACCGCCCGGCGCCGCACUCUGUCUCCCCUCCCCGAACCAGCCGCCACCGAUCCCCGGUAGGAACGUCGCCCACCCGGCACCACUCCUCAUCCUCCCCUGACAAGACUCCGGCUCCCCGUCCACCAGAUCUUCUCUCCCUGCAAUAAAUCAUUCAUAGAAACUGCAUCUUGGCCUUGGUGGUAGUUCUCUGCUCAAGUCCGGUCCUGAUUGUGUGACAGUUAUACUUCACUGUAAAAAUCAAUCAUCUAAAAUAAAUUAUUUUUAGAACUACUGUU